rnacentral:rRNA from 1 species
GACGAACGCUGGCGGCGUGCUUAACACAUGCAAGUCGAGCGGUAAGGCCCUUUCGGGGGUACACGAGCGGCGAACGGGUGAGUAACACGUGGGUGACCUGCCCUUAGCUCUGGGAUAAGCCUGGGAAACUGGGUCUAAUACCGGAUAUGACUCCAUGACGCAUGUUGUGGGGUGGAAAGCCUUGUGCGGCUAGGGAUGGGCCCGCGGCCUAUCAGCUUGUUGGUGGGGUGAUGGCCUACCAAGGCGACGACGGGUAGCCGGCCUGAGGAGGG